rnacentral:rRNA from 1 species
UACGGAGGGUGCAAGCGUUGCUCGGAAUUAUUGGGCGUAAAGGGUAGGUAGGUGGUCUCGUUUGUCUGGGGUGAAAGCCUUGAGCUUAACUCAAGAAGUGCCUUAGAAACGGCGAGACUAGAGUCUUGGAGAGGGUCGUGGAAUUCCCGGUGUAGCGGUGAAAUGCGUAGAGAUCGGGAGGAACACCAGAGGCGAAGGCGGCGACCUGGACAAGUACUGACACUCAACUACGAAAGCGUGGGGAGCAAACAGG